UGAGUUUUUAUUGUGAUUUGCUAGAUUUUGAUAGUUUUUAUCUAUAUUUAUUUAGUACAUUUUUAAAUUUUAGAUUUGAUUAGGAUUUAUGUUGUUUAUUUCAUGAUUUUAUCUUAAUAUAAAAUCUGUGAUAAGUGAUUUAAAUCAAUAAUACAUCUCAUCAGCAAAAACCCUCUUAAAACCCUGCCUACCUCUACUAUCUCCUCCAUGGAAUUCAUCUCCUCCAUGCAAUUUUCAUCUCAUCUCUCCACUGAACGGAACCACCCCCACAAAAUCGUCCCAUCUCUCAACGGAACCACUUUGCCAUCGACUUGCAAUCGCGUCCCUUCGAUUUGCUGCCUUGGACUGAUUGGGAAGGUUGCAGAUGGAGGUUUCAAAUUAUUUUCUUCCUUUGCUUGCAUAAUAUGUUAUGGUUUUUUUCAAUUUUAUUUUACUUUACCUUUAACUUUCAUUCACUCAUGUUUGACUUCAAGGUCAAUUUCGUUCAUCACUUGCCAUGCUAAUUUCAAAUUCUUUUCUUCAGGUUUCUUUUUUAUAGAUAUUCCACCAAAAGAGAUUCUUUGGAAGCCAUGGAUGGUGAGUCCAUUUUAUAUUCUAUAUGGAAUUUUGCAAUAUUUUGAUUUGUUUUUCAUGUUUUCUGAUUCUCCUUUGUAUGUGAUUCUAUUUUAUUUGUUUUUCUUAAUUUGCAUCUAAAAUUUGUGUCCUAUGUUAUAGGAGGUGAAACAUUGAUCUGUGUAUGUUUUGAUUAACCUAAUCAUUGUCAGUGAAGUAGAUUGAGGGAGUGAAAGAAUUUAGGGGAGAGAAAGGAGAAGUUGUAGAUUUUUUUCCUUGCAACUUUUUUAUUUGGUAAUUUUUUCUUUUUGCCUGCUUCUUACACCGAGGAAAUUAAUUAUUAUUGUUGGUGCUUGCCGUUACAACUACAAAACUACAUAUUAUGGAUGAGAUUUUACUGCUUAUCUUUGUUCGCUCAAGCUAUACUAUUGAGGUACAGAACAACAAUGAGGUACAUACCUCUUUCUGACUACACUCUCUGAUUCUCAGCUAGCUGAAGAUGAAACAUGAUUGAUGACUCAAGAUCUUAUCUUGCUCUCAUUUCAAAAUGCAGAUACUGCUGGAAGCUGCUGAUUUGGAAGCAAGUUUCAUUUGAAUUAGCAUGAGUUCAUAUUAAUUCAUGUUAAAGUUGGACAACAAUCAGGAAUAGCACCUAGGAUUGCUGCUGAUUUGAAAGCAAGUUUCAUUUGAUUUUUUAAUUAUAAAUAAAUAUUUUAAUGAUUUAAAUUCAAAAUGUGAUACCUUCUUACUUUAUGAAGUGCUUUUUUAUGCCAGAGAACAGACUCUGGUUGCAGUGAAAACAAAAUUUGCAUAUGAUGUUAGGUACUGUGUGAAAUUUGUGAGUGUGUUUGUGGAUAAUUUAUAAGAAAAUGGUGGUGAUAGUGAGGUAGAGAAAUCUGAGAGAGAUUUUGAUGUAAAUGGAGAUUUUUCUUUCUUAUGAGAUUGGACUUUUAACCCUUAUCUACACCAUUCGAAA